rnacentral:rRNA from 1 species
UGGGGAAUAUUGGACAAUGGGCGCAAGCCUGAUCCAGCAAUACCGCGUGUGUGAAGAAGGCCCGAGGGUUGUAAAGCACUUUCAGCGGGGAGGAAAAAGGCGGGCCCAACACGCCCGCCCUUGACAUUACCCGCACAAGAAGCACCGGCUAACUCCGUGCCAGCAGCCGCGGUAAUACGGAGGGUGCGAGCGUUGUUCGGAUUUACUGGGCGUAAAGGGCGCGUAGGCGGCGCUGUAAGUCGCUUGUGAAAUCUCUGAGCUUAACUCAGAACGGCCAAGUGAUACUGCAGUGCUAGAGUGCAGAAGGGGCAAUCGGAAUUCUUGGUGUAGCGGUGAGAUGCGUAGAUAUCAAGAGGAACACCUGAGGUGAAGACGGGUUGCUGGGCUGACACUGACGCUGAGGCGCGAAAGCCAGGGGAGCAAACGGGAUUAGAUACCCUUGUAGUCCCUGAGCGGGCUGGCAAGGCGCAU